UAGGGAAUCUUCGGCAAUGGACGAAAGUCUGACCGAGCAACGCCGCGCGAGUGAAGAAGGUUUUCGGAUCGUAAAACUCUGUUGUUAGAGAAGAACAAGGACGUUAGUAACUGAACGUCACCUGACGGUAUCUAACCAGAAAGCCACGGCUAACUACGUGCCAGCAGCCGCGGUAAUACGUAGGUGGCAAGCGUUGUCCGGAUUUAUUGGGCGUAAAGCGAGCGCAGGCGGUUUCUUAAGUCUGAUGUGAAAGCCCCCGGCUCAACCGGGGAGGGUCAUUGGAGACUGGGAGACUUGAGUGCAGAAGAGGAGAGUGGAAUUCCAUGUGUAGCGAUGAAAUGCGUAGAUAUAUGGAGGAACACCAGUGGCGAAGGCGGCUCUCUGGUCUGUAACUGACGCUGAGGCUCGAAAGCGUGGGGAGCAAACAGG
rnacentral:rRNA from 1 species